rnacentral:rRNA from 1 species
AGCAGCCGCGGUAAUUCCAGCUCCAAUAGCGUAUAUUAAAGUUGUUGCAGUUAAAAAGCUCGUAGUUGAAUUUCGGGAUCAAAUUGUCGGUCGUGCCUCGGUACGUACUGGUAUUAUUGGUUCCUCCCUUCUGACGAACCACGAUGUCAUUAAUUUGGUGUCAUGGGAAAUCAGGACUGUUACUUUGAAAAAAUUAGAGUGUUUAAAGCAGGCUCGCGCUUGAAUACAUUAGCAUGGAAUAAUGAAAUAGGACGUUUGAUUCUAUUUUGUUGGUUUCUAGGAUCGACGUAAUGAUUAAUAGGGAUAGUUGGGGGCAUUAGUAUUCAAUUGUCAGAGGUGAAAUUCUUGGAUUUAUUGAAGACUAACUACUGCGAAAGCAUUUGCCAAGGAUGUUUUCAUUAAUCAAGAACGAAAGUUAGGGGAUCGAAGACGAUCAGAUACCGUCGUAGUCUUAACCAUAAACUAUGCCGACUAGGGAUCGGAUGAUGUUAAUUUUUUCAAUGACUCAUUUGGCGCCUUA